rnacentral:tRNA from 1 species
GGGAUGUAGCUCAGUUGGUAGAGUGCUUGCUUAGUACACAGAAAGUCCUGGGUUCGAUCCUCAGCAUACCCU